AUUGAACGCUGGCGGCAGGCUUAACACAUGCAAGUCGAGCGAGCGGCGGACGGGUGAGUAAUGUCUGGGAAACUGCCUGAUGGAGGGGGAUAACUACUGGAAACGGUAGCUAAUACCGCAUACCAUAGGAUGAGCCCAGUUGGGAUUAGGUAGUUGGUGGGGUAACGGCUCACCAAGCCGACGAUCCCUAGCUGGUCUGAGAGGAUGACCAGCCACACUGGGACUGAGACACGGCCCAGACUCCUACGGGAGGCAGCAGUGGGGAAUAUUGCGCAAUGGGGGCAACCCUGAUGCAGCCAUGCCGCGUGUAUGAAGAAGGCCUUCGGGUUGUAAAGUUCUUUCGGUAGCGAGGCGUUACCUACAGAAGAAGCACCGGCUAACUCCGUGCCAGCCGCCGCGGUAAUUC
rnacentral:rRNA from 1 species